CAUGAAAGUUGGAUCAAUGGCUGUGGAGCCUACAUGGGACUGGACUAGGCCCUCUGCAUGAAUCGAAGGUCCUGGUUUUCCCUCUACAAUAAGCUGAAGAUGUGAGGAUAAUCAUCUGGCGCUUGCCUCCUGAGAGAGGAGGGAUGGCUGGAGUAACUGAUGUCCUGCAAGUGUCAGGAGGCCGAGGGCAGAUGCAGAGAAGGUUUUAGCUUAAUUAGCCGCAGCAAGUGCUCUGCAGAGGGCCCAACUGGGGUCUCAUCUGCCUGGCUCUGGGGAUGUUUCUCGGGGUCACCCUCUGUCAUCUGACAUGAGUGGGUGGUCUGUGAUGUCCUCAAAAUGCAAAUGCUAAGACACCCCCAACAAGAACGGAAGGCUGUGGCCACCAUUUCAGCUCUGUGGGAUUCACAGGUGGAGGCAAAGAACUGAACCAACCAUAGCAGGUCCAAAGAGCAGAUCUGCCCGGAGCAGGCUCAAAGCAGAGAGCGCCUUUAGCUCUCUGUGAUAAGGCCCUGUGAUGGCUGCUGAGAGGAUCCAGAUGAGGCACACAGCAAAGAAGACAGUUUGCUACGGAGCAAAGUACAUUCUCCACACGAAAGGGCAGACAAUAGCCAACAAGAUCGCCGUCUCAUCUACACUCUUAGCAGGCUGUAUAUUAUUUUCUGAAAUCUCUGGAACAGAGCUUUUACCUGUUCCAGGCUGGCUCAGCUUAGAAGACAUGUUACACAUAAGCCACCAGUGUUAAAAGGGGCUUUGUGAUCCGUACAGGGCUGUCCCCCCAGGUCUUGGCAUUGUUCUACACGGAUGAGGAGUGACAAUCUCAUCAAACUGCUGAGAACAGAGUGGCAGUGUAAUCCACCCCGGUUUGAAAUCAUUUCCUGGUGUCACCCUCCUCUGGUAAUACGUGGUGACUGGGUUUUCAUCACUGGGAUGAAGCACUUGAGAAGAUGAUGUAGGUGAAGAAUGGCUUGUUUGGACGCCACCAUUUCAGAGGGCUCAGUCUGGUGCCAUCUAGAUCCCUUGCUAUGGGCCUGACCCAAGACAGAAUGUCCCAGUGGAAAGGUGUGGCUGAGCAAACUGCUCACCUUAAGGAGGCCAGGGUACAGAAAGGGAGUGCCUGUGGUAUCAGAGGACUUUCUCCUUCAUCCACCUUUAUGCCAUCUAGGCCCCACCCAAACUGUAGAGCAGUGCUGCCCAUAUUCAGAGAACCCUCACAGACCACCCAGAAAUGUGUUAUUAGUCACCUGAGCCCUCUUAAUGCAAUCAAGUUGAUAAUCAGUGUUACCCAUCACAGAUCUGAAGAGAAGCCUUAGUCAGUAAAACGCAUAUACAGAGACCCUUACAUAUAUAGAGACCAGAACCCUGGAUCUCACAUAAAAUCCAAACAUGGUGUCAUGUGCUUCUGAAACCAGCCCUGAAGAGUAGAGAGAUGGGCAGAUCCACGGGGCUCACUGGCCAGCUUAGUAGGCAGGUUCCAGGUCAGUGGGAGACCCUGCCUCAAAACAACAAUAAGAUGGACAAUGCCCAGGUAUGACAGCCUAUGUUGCUCAUGUGCACACUUGCAUACACGCACACACACAUACACACACACAUACACACAGUGAGUGAGAGAGACACACAGAGAGAGAUAUGCAGAUGCCUACAUGUUCUUCUUAAGUUAGCCUGAACCAACCUAAGCUGAGUCAAACUAGAAUCAGCUGAGUUGAGGUGAGUUGAGCCAAGCCAGGUUGGGGCAGAUGUCUCUCAGGACUGAAAUACUUGGAUAAGUGUGGGCUUAUAGCCAGUGGAUUUGGAGAUGGGCAAAGGGUACAAGGUCAAGGACCAUGAGAUGCUGCCUGAUGCAUCAGGCAAAAGCAAGAACCUGGGAAUCAGACAAGCUGUUUCUCCCCGCUUCACUUUGCAGCAACUGUGUAACCCAGGGCAAGUCACUUCACCUCCAAGGGACUCGGUGCCUGGCCUGUGAAGAAAGGGCAGCGUGAGCAAGUCUGCUCUGCCAUACGGCAGGAUCCACCGGCCCUCCCCAAACACAGAAGGACGCAGGAGUCACUGCAUCUUGCAGAUGAGCAGACUGGGGCUGCUGCACCAAGGACUGAGAAGCAGGUCUGUCUGUCAUGGUGCUGGGGCAAGCAUUUCCCGUCCUGGUAGAAGAGGAACCUACUGGCAUCUGGCAGGAGGCUUUACAGGAUCAAGAUGAAGCCCAGGCCAUGACUGUGAUGGAGCUUCUGAGAUUAAGUUACCUGAAGUAGGAAGACCCGCGCUGAAUGAAGCUCCAUCCCGUGCGCUGGGAUCCAGGGCAGAAUAGACAGGAGAAACCUCAAAGGGGAGGGAGACACACCAGCAGUGGAUCCAAGUUUUGUCUCCAUGCAAGUAUUGUUCCACCCUCUCCCUACUGUUCCCUCUUUCAGGCAAGAAAACUGAGGCCAUUUUCCCAGGGUCAUCACUAACAGGCUAGAAUACCUGCUCAGGCUCACUGCCUCUGAAGCCCAAAUUGUCAUCAACACAAUGCCAACUGUUGGUAACAUGAAUUUGUUCCAUGUGUUCGGUAAGCAUGAGUACCAGAACGUGAGGCAGCCCUUAGCAAUUUGCCCAGUCAUAAGGUACACCCAUGGGAGGACCUGCCGUAUGCCAGAGGGAGGGAGCUCCGCAGGCCACAUCCCACACCCCUCACUAUCAUUCUCCAUCACCCAUGUCAGCACUGAUUGCAUCAUGCUCUCUCUCUGUGCCCAGACAGAGUCUCAAGGUCUUUCUGAGCACUCCGAUAGGAAGUCACUAGCAAAGCAGAAGUGAUGUAGGAGGUUUGACAGGAUGCGCUAUACAUGGACACUUAAAGAGUGGACAGUGCAGAUUGCUUCCCAAGUCUGCGUCCAGUGACGUGACAUUGGUGGGUCAGCAUGGACCAUGGUGGGUGCAUUUAUGCCUCAGAACUGGGUAGAGGCUGCCCAGCAGAGCCUUUGCCACAGAGAGCUAUCUCAGCAGCACACUGCUGCCCACACCUCUCCUGAUCCCAACCUGACAUUUUACAACCUCGGGGAUCAGCUUUAGUAGCCCUCAUUUUACAAUGUGGAUCAUGUCUGGCCAAGGUCAGGCAGUAGCCAGAGCAGAGCUGGGAGAUGAGCUCCAACCUCCUCUCUGUGAAGAGUAACAGAGAGUGGGAAGAGCUCACAAAGCCCUCUGCAAAUACAAGAGAUUAUUAUUCCUGUCACCGCCAUGACUGCCAGGGAGACAGAGCCAAUGAUUCUGAACUGCUGCAGUCCAGCUGGCUCCGGGGCUAGCAAUUUCAAAGCUACCCACAGUGGAAUCCCCAGGUCUAGCUCCUUUCUCUUCAGCUAAGAGCCCUUAUAAUGCAGUCCCCUAGCAGCACCCACACAUCACUGUCUCAGACUGCCCUGGACUGACAGGCUUUCUUCCAGAGCAGCAGAAUCUGCUCUAAGGGGCUCGGAUGUGCUUUUAUAAGACCACAAUUUCCUUUUCUCCUAACACAAUUUUAAUUAACCAUUUGAGAAUUUCAUACAAUUUAUUUUUAUUAUAUUCAUCACUCUCUCCCAACUCCCCCCAUCAGAUCUACCCUCCCCCAUUCCCUACCCACCCAACUGUGUUCAUUGUGUGCAGCCCAUAUACUCUUGGGUGGGUGGCCAUCUACUGGAGCAUGGUCAACCUACCAGGGGCCACAUUCUUAAAACUGACUCACCCUCUCCCAGAAGCUGUGAACUAUUACUACCUAUUUGUAUGUCCAGGAUGACACGCACUGCAUUCUAAAUACUUAUCCCACUGGUAAAACAUUCCCUCCUCAUCAAAGAAGAGUCUCUCCCCAGCAGAGACCCUUACAGAAAGCCACAGCUAACCAAAAUACAGAGAACUAAUGGUGGGUGCCCAGCCACAAGUGAUACAUCUACUACCACCCUUACAGCUAAGGUUCAGGGAGCAUUGAGAAAGAAAUGGUGGAAAGAUUAUUAAGAGCAAGAGGAUCAGAAUGUCUGCUGCAAUAUUGCAUCUUCUAGAAGUGACAGGGGAGUUACAUCCAUGAAAUCUCAACAAUAUGGCUGCUUAAACAAUGCCUGAGCAAUGGUGUUAGUUGGCAUGCAACAUGGAUGUGGGAAGAGCUACCAGAAACCAAAAACUGCUGAGAGAGAUGGCGAAAGAGAAGAAGAACUAGUCUUCACUGGAAAAGAGCACCCUAAAUAACUAUCCAAUGCAAGUGGUCAGCCCUAAAAUGUAUACACACAAACAACAUUAAAUGGACUCAGCAGGUAGCAUUGAAUAUUUAUUUGCAUAUAUAUGUGUGUGCAUGUAACAAUGA